rnacentral:rRNA from 1 species
UACGUAGGGGGCAAGCGUUGUCCGGAUUUAUUGGGCGUAAAGAGCGUGUAGGCGGCCUGAAAGGUCAGCUGUGAAAACUCGAGGCUCAACCUCGAGACGUCGGUUGAAACCAUCUGGCUAGAGUCCGGAAGAGGAGUGUGGAAUUCCCGGUGUAGCGGUGAAAUGCGCAGAUAUCGGGAGGAACACCUGUGGCGAAAGCGGCUCACUGGACCGCAACUGACGCUGAGGCGCGAAAGCUAGGGGAGCAAACAGG